UUCCAGAAAACCGCGUGACAUGAAUUGACGUGACGACGGAAAUGGUGGACGAGGUGUAUUUUAGCACAAAAAAAACCACCAUGUUUUGUUUAUGAUUAAUGGCCCAGGGUAUAUUCGUGAUGGAUGGUACUUGCUUCAGCGUUAUUGUGGCCAUUUUCACUCAAUAUUCUGAACGCAUCACCUGUGUAGACUUUGCCAAAAUGCCAAAAGAACCACGUGAACUAAUGGCGGAUAGAGUGAUUGGAUGAAUUCUAGCAAAAAAACUCCAUAAUGUGCUGUAUCAUAGGGUAUUUCCGUGAUGUGUAUAUCAACAACUACUAAGGAAAGUAGUUGUUCCUACAAUAUUCAUUAGUGCAAGAUAGCAAGACUAAUUGAGGACAGACAAAUCUCUACUGUAAGAUAUAUGCAUCAAAGAAUCAUUGGCGUUAUGUAGCAGGAGAGCAUGACCAAUGUUGCAAGACAAGAAAAAUACACUGAAAUUCAGUUGGAACAUCUUGAAGAGUUCGAAAGAGUAAUCCCGGUGAAAGAACACAAACAAUUAUUGUAUCUUCAACAAACAAGUUACUGGAUCAAAAGAACUUGCAUCAUUCUCAAAUAUUAUUGAUCAUAUUGUACAGAAGUUAUGAUCGAAUUACAGUAAGAUGAGGAACCAGAAUUUCUAUAAUUAAUGUAUCUAAUAUAGACCUAGGCCGUGUAAAGCAAUCUAACUUUUAGUUAAUUUAAUUGAUUAUGCCUAAUAGUUAUACUGGUGAGUUUAACAUCUUGCUGAAUAUUGUGACAUCUUAAGCACGGUGAAAGAAAACAUACAGCGAUUGUAUUUUUAUCAGAAUAUCGAAGGAAUUGAACAAAUUAUUUUGAAUGACAAGUUAUUGCAGCAUCAAGACAGCUUGUAUCAUUGUAAAAUAUUAUUAUGCCCGAUAGUUAGAUUGUAUUUUUAUCGGAAUAUCAAGACAGCUUGUAUCAUUGUAAAAUAUUGAACUAAAAGAAACAAUUUCCUAUAAUUAAUUUUUCAUAUAAGUUAUGUACAUUUAUAUAUUCAAAAUAUAUUAUGAUUUUGGUUGUAAGGUUUUUAUAAUAAAAAAUAUAAGUAAUGUGUU